rnacentral:misc_RNA from 1 species
GCCUUGUUGAAUUUUUAUAGAGCUGAAUGCUGAUGAUAUUUCUCCCCCAUACACCAAAGGGUACAACAUAUGGUUCAAGUUUACCAAAGUCAGCCCAUUACUUGCAGGAAUGGAAUAUUUCUGGUAAGACAGGGACUCAUAUUGACGGAAUUACAAGACAUGGUUACGUUACUGAAGAUAUUUUUUGCAUGGUGGAACUUGGAAGCAGUGGCUUUACCGUGGUAAGGUAUGGUAUUGAAAACUUCGAUUUCAUAAUUAUGGCUCCAAACCCAAACCUCGCCAAUUGGGGGCUUCUUGUAUAUUGCUACUGUCGACUCUUUUGGAUUUAUAGGUUGAAGAAACAGAAAGUUUCGUAUUUUUUUAUGAACUUCAAUUUUUU